rnacentral:rRNA from 1 species
CUCCCACCCAGUGCUAUCACUACUCUCGUUGCUUUGGCGGGCCGCUGGGCCCUGCCCGGCCGCCGGCCCCGGCUGGCGCGUGCCCGCCAGAGACCUUCACAGACUCUGAAUGUUAGUGUCGUCCGAGUAACUAUACAAUCGUUAAAACUUUCAACAACGGAUCUCUUGGUUCUGGCAUCGAUGAAGAACGCAGCGAAAUGCGAUAAGUAAUGCGAAUUGCAGAAUUCAGUGAGUCAUCGAAUCUUUGAACGCACAUUGCGCCCUGUGGUAUUCCGCAGGGCAUGCCUGUUCGAGCGUCAUUUCAACCCUCAAGCCCCGCUUGGUGUUGGGCCCCGCCCGCUGUGGCCGGCCCUAAAGACAGUGGCGGCGCCGCCUGGCCCUCAGCGUAGUACAUCUCUCGCUCCAGGGUCCGGUGGCCGCCUGCCAGAACCCCCCAACUC